GUUUAGGUGAGCGUGUUUCUCGAGAAUUGCCCCACGUGCAAUAAUGAUAAGUGAGCCAAAUUCUUAUUCUUAUGAUUGAAAUCAUAAACUAGUCACAUGUUCUGGAGAUCUCUCUCCGGAACCAUAUAUGUUAGUGAUUGAUGUUGUCGGUGGCCAUUCCACAUCUGAAUCAAGAAAGGAAACCAGCUGUGACAUGAAAUCAGUUUCAACACAUCCAUUGCCCUCAAAUUUCACUGCAGGAAACUCUGCUGCUCCACUCUUAUUAAUCCCAUCCAUUUCUUCUUCUUUCAUGUUAUUAUCAUUCGCACCACUUGCCUUUGUCAAGUAGUCUGAAUCAAGAAUCUGACCAAAUUCUUCCACAUUAAAAUCCUUCAGAUAGUCCAACUCACACAGCUGCGCAUUUUCUAAUAAUGGUCCCAUUGCCACAUUAACUAGUUGAACAUCUUGUUGCUGAGUCGCUGUCGUGCCUGCAGGUGUUUGAAUGCUUUGACACAUCAGUUUUGGUAUUGUCCCUGGAGAUGGAGGUUGUUUCUUCUCAAGUUUAGGCAGGGUCAAUUGCAACUCUUGUGCCCUCUUAGCUAAAAUGGUGUUCCAGUAAUUCUUUAUUU
rnacentral:misc_RNA from 1 species